rnacentral:rRNA from 1 species
UACGGGGGGCAGCAGUGGGGAAUAUUGCACAAUGGGCGCAAGCCUGAUGCAGCCAUGCCGCGUGUAUGAAGAAGGCCUUCGGGUUGUAAAGUACUUUCAGCAGUGAGGAAGGUGGGUAUGUUAAUAGCAUACUCAUUUGACGUUAGCUGCAGAAGAAGCACCGGCUAACUCCGUGCCAGCAGCCGCGGUAAUACGGAGGGUGCGAGCGUUAAUCGGAAUUACUGGGCGUAAAGCGCAUGCAGGUGGUUUGUUAAGUCAGAUGUGAAAGCCCGGGGCUCAACCUCGGAAUUGCAUUUGAAACUGGCAAACUAGAGUACUGUAGAGGGGGUAGAAUUUCAGGUGUAGCGGUGAAAAUGCGUAGAGAUCUGAAGGAAUACCGGUGGCGAAGGCGGCCCCCUGGACAGAUACUGACACUCAGAUGCGAAAGCGUGGGGAGCAAACAGGAUUAGAUACCCUGGUAG